GACGAACGCUGGCGGCGUGCUUAACACAUGCAAGUCGAACGGAAAGGCCCUGCUUUUGUGGGGUGCUCGAGUGGCGAACGGGUGAGUAACACGUGUGUAACCUGCCCUUGUCUUUGGGAUAACUUCAGGAAACUGGGGCUAAUACCGGAUAGGAGCUCCUGCUGCAUGGUGGGGGUUGGAAAGUUUCGGCGGUUGGGGAUGGACUCGCGGCUUAUCAGCUUGUUGGUGGGGUAGUGGCUUACCAAGGCUUUGACGGGUAGCCGGCCUGAGAGGGUGACCGGGCUCAUUGGGACUAAGAGACGCACCAGACUCCUACGGGAGGCAGCAGUGGGGAAUAUUGCACAGUGAGCGGGAGCCUGUGGCGGCAACGCCGCGUGCGGGAUGACGUCCUUCGGGUUGUGAACAGCUUUCGCCUGUGACGAAGCGUGAGUGACGGUAAUGAAUAAAGAAGCACCGGCUAACUACGUG
rnacentral:rRNA from 1 species